rnacentral:rRNA from 1 species
UGGGGAAUCUUAGACAAUGGGCGCAAGCCUGAUCUAGCCAUGCCGCGUGAGUGACGAAGGCCCUAGGGUCGUAAAGCUCUUUCACCAGGGAAGAUAAUGACGGUACCUGGAGAAGAAACCCCGGCUAACUCCGUGCCAGCAGCCGCGGUAAUACGGAGGGGGUUAGCGUUGUUCGGAAUUACUGGGCGUAAAGCGCGCGUAGGCGGGCUGUUAAGUCGGGGGUGAAAUCCCGGGGCUCAACCCCGGAACUGCCUCCGAUACUGGCAGCCUAGAGUUCGAGAGAGGUGAGUGGAAUUCCGAGUGUAGAGGUGAAAUUCGUAGAUAUUCGGAAGAACACCAGUGGCGAAGGCGGCUCACUGGCUCGAUACUGACGCUGAGGUGCGAAAGCGUGGGGAGCAAACA